GGCCAUUUUCCCACGGAGUAAGAACCAGAACGCCAGCUGCCCCAGCGGCGCUCGCACCAUCCACCCUUGAAAUUGCCGUAGAAGGGUGAAAAUGCUGUGAUACCUUUCCUCAGCCCUCAAAAGGGUCAUGGCUGCCGGGAGUGGUGGCUCAUGCCUAUAAUCCCAGCACUUUGGGAGGCCGAGGUGGGCAGAUCACCUGAGGUCAGGAGUUUGAGACCAGCCUGGCUAACAUGGCGAAACCCUUUCUCUACUAAAAAUACAAAAAUUAGCCAGUCGUGGUGGCGGGCGCCUGUAAUCCCAGCUACUUGGGAAACUGAGGCAGGAGAAUCGCUUGAACCUGGGAGGUUGGAGGUUGCAGUGAGCCGAGAUUGGGCCACUGCACUGCAGCCUGGCCAAUGGAGCAUUUCAAAAAAAAAGAAAGAAAGAAAGAAAAAGGAGGGGGGUUGUCAUGGUUGACACUCCUAUAAUGAAAGACAGGUUAACAAGACAAAAGCACGGCAAAUUUAUUCAGUCAGAAUUUUGCGUGACACGGAAGCAUUCACAAUGAAGACUCAAAGACCCAAGGGAAAACUGUCCAUUUUUAUGCUUAGAUUCAAUGAGGAGUGGACAACCAUGUAAAAAUGGGAUUGGACAAAAAGGAAAUAAUCUAAUGUAAUAGAUUGAAGGGGAACAACCCAGCAAGGCCUGACUAUUUGGAUUCUUCUUGGCCUCUCUGUGUGGCAUUCCUUCCUCCCUGGUAUAGAGCAGGACCCCUUCUGGAAUAAGGGUUUUAUGAUCUACUAUCAGACAAGGUAGACCAGAGAAUUUCUUUAUGGCCAGCUCAUAUGCAGAAAGGCAAUGGAAGUUGAGAGAAAUAUGUUUAGUUUCUAUGACCCACUGUGGGGCAGAGGAAUUCUGAUUUCUAUGGCCUGCCUUAGGGUAGAAGGGGGACCAGGAGACAGGAGGGCAGGAGAAGCCCAGAGAGAGACUUUGUUUCUAGGGUCCUUCCAGUAUCCUUCGGCUCAAAGUACUCAGCAUAUCAAAGCACCUUACUUUGGGGCAUUGUUUUUCUGAGCUCCAAUGCUGUAAAAGACACAAUGGUUUUUAUUUUCCAAAAAUUGCUAGAUGCAGCUUUUUGCAUUUGCCACAAUCUUAUUACCACCUGUAAGUAAGCACCACUAGCUGAUAGUUUUUAUUCAUAAAACAUCAUCAUUGUAUCCUAAGAGAAUGAGAUUGGUAUUGGUCUUUAGAUUUUACUUCUAUAAGCAGAUCAGCUACAUGGAUGAAAGACUGAUAUAAAAUGGAAAGCUGAAUUUCCAGAAUUUUAGGGAUAUUUGCACUCAAAGAAUCUAAUAACAGAAUAUUUAGAUCUGCUUAUUAAUCUAUCAUUUUAAUUACAUUUUAAUUUAUGAAUUUAAAGUUACAAUGAGUAAAAAAUCCUUUUAGGUUUUUAUUAAUCAGUAACACCUGAACAGUUUUUGUAAAUUGCUUUAGAGUAGAUUUACUCCAGACGAGGCAGCUGAGUCCGGAAUACCUUUCCCCUAAGGAAAGCAACCUUGUUGCCAUGCAGCCUUCAAUUUGCCUUUGUAGUCAUAGACCAUGUAUGAAAUAUCAAUCCUUUCUAAAUGAAGUGACUGCCAAUCAAAUCUUUCUUUUAAACUUCCCACUAGAGCAAUAUUAAGAAUACACAGGGAAGUUAUGAAGUUGUGAUUAUGCCGAAUAAACACAAAUUCCUGGCCCUUCUUAACCAUGAAUUAUUUCUAAACAUUAUUAACCCAUUAUUUUUUAGAACACAUCCGUGAAAAGUGAAAACAAUGGAUAGAAAAACCAAAACUCUGACCACAUAUGUGGUCAGUUCUGUAGCCUACACUUUUCCUUUUUGAAGUGUUUUUAUUUGCCAAAGGAAGACAGCAAAGGAAAGAACCUCUUAGUGGCAAGUAGGUGUCACUGUGUACUUGUCAGCCACUGAGAGUGCACCAGUCUUGUCAGCUCCCUGGGCCGCUUGGGGAUGCAGAAGAUUCAGUUGCUUGUAGCAUAGGUGCUUUCCCCCAGGCCUAAAUAGGACUUAUUUAGAAUGUAUAAAUAAUGUUCCUUGCAUUUCCUAAUGUUUAUUUCCCUUGCCUCAUUAUCCAAAAUACUGUGAAUUUUUAGCUGAGGAAGCUGACUUCUUAUGGUGUAUCCUGGAUUUUCUUCCCUGGAAAGCCUGUGAAUUUCAAAGGAAACAAAGUUUAGGUCUCAGGCUUCCCCUUAUUUAUCUUGAGAAUGAAGGGUUUUGAAGAGGUGGCCUUUGCAAUUCAUCUCUAUGAUCCUUUUCUUUUGUUUCAAACCUACAUACUUCAGGUGCUCCAAUGUUGUUUUCUUAUAAAGUGCUUUCUUUCCUAGUUGUUGAUUAAAGUUUUUUCCAGUAUAUCUCAUUUUACAAACCUCCCCCUCUUUCUGAGUCAUUUAUCUCAUUUCCUAGGCUGAUUGUAUGAUUUCACUUAGUGAAACAGCUUCCUGUGUGCACAAGGAGUCUGUGACUAUACAGAUGUCAAUCAGUUUUUAAUUAUGUGGAGGCUGAUUAUUGUGUUUCAUAGCUUAUUUGUAAUUCUUUUCUUUUUUCUUUGCUUGCCCUUAAAGAGAGAAUGGGCAGCGUAUAGUCCAUUUUAUUGUUUGUUACUUGUUCUGGAAAAAUGUCAUAGAGAAGAAGAUAGAGGAGAUAUUUAUAAAAUAUUUAUGUUUAUAAAGUUGAAUCUGAGAAUGGAAAGAUUGUGGAUUGACUAUCUCUUUUCUAGCUCAAGAUCUAGAACUGAUGAUGUCCUUUGAUUGUUACAGUUACAGACAAGUUUUAAAGACAGCUUCAAAAUUACCUUCCCCAAAUAAUAACAUUGGGACAGGUUUGUGCUUCCUAGUUUGAUAUUGCUUCAGAGAAAGUUAGUGAGGAAAUGUUAAUACAAGGAAGUAAAGUAAAAGAAAACAAAAACCAAACACUACUAGUAUGUUUAGUAAUUAUUAUUCUGAGUAUGAGUCUUGGGACUUUUGGCCUGAUUACCUGGAGACAAAUUCCCUAAGGGAUCAUCACCCCACCUGAAAAAUGGGCUAACAUGAUUUCUUAGUUUUAGAGUUCUGUGAGUUGGAGAUUAGUUCAUCAAGCACACUUGCAAAGAACUCUAUAGGGGUAGUCAGGAGACAGCCUCCAGCUCCAUCUCUGUCACUCCAUAGUUGUAUAUGGCUUUGGCCAGUCACUUUAUCUCUCUGUGAAUUUCCUUAUGUAUGAAGUGAGCUUCACCAGCUUCUCUCUGUGCCUCUUCCAGCUCCUUGUUAGCUGUCCGUACUUUUGUUAAGAUGGCCUCAGGAGAACAGGGUAGGUGAUGGUGAAGCAUAGACUUGAAGUCAGAUGUUUGUAAUUGGGGUUCCAUGGGUGAGCUUCAGAGGGACAUGAAUCCCUUGAAGUUUUAUGCAAAUGUGUGUAUGCAUGUGCAUUUUUAUGAAUAGAAGAUUUUUUCCCAUCAGAUUCUCAGUGGCAUCUGUGACUCCCUAUCCCUCUUUCACAAGGUUAAGAACUACUGUAUUGUAGGAGAGGGAGAUAAAUGAAGGCUGGAGGGAGUAACUGGUGAAGGCUUUAUGAAAGAGGAAGUUCCUGAGUUGGCUUUGGAGCCUGAGUUUUAAUAGAUAGGAGAAGGAAAGGAGCAUUCCAGUAGAUGGUAACAAUAUGAAUAAAGGGAUGUAGCUAAUUCUUAUGGCAAGUAUAAUAUGUCAGUCACUGAUUGUCUUUAUAAAUCCCACAACAGGCCUAAGAGGUAGAUGUUAUCAAUAUCCUCAUCUUAUAGAUGAGAAGACUGAGGGUCAUAAAGAUUAAGUUAUUAAGUUACUAUGCAGUUAAUAGUUUGUAGAAUCAGGAUUUGAACCUUUGCAGUCCGAUCUCAGAGUCCAUGCACAUAAACACUACAUCAUAAAGCUUCUUCUUUCUGGUUCACUAGCAAUUUGAUUUGCCUAGAAUAGAUGAUUUGUAUUGGGGACAGGUAAGAAAUAGGCUUGGCAAAUGGUCAGGAUGGUGCCAACUGUGGUGCAACUUUAGGAUCAAGAAGAAGAAUUUCAAUUUGAUGCUAUAGGCAAUAGGGAGUCAUGGAAGGUUUUAGACCAGUGAAGACAUAACCACAAUGGUAUUUUCUUAACUUUAUUAUUUAAAUCUUCCAUGUUCUUACUAAUUUUGUGUUUUCUUGAUCUAUCAGUUACUGAAAGAUGUGUUGAAACUUUCUACUUUGAUUAUAAAUUCCCAUUCUGUAUUUGAUGCUCUAAUAUUAAAAGCAUAACAUUUUGAAUUGCUGAAUCUUCCUGGUGGUGUUUUCCUUUUAUCUUUUUAUUAUAACAUAGCGAACAUCUUUAUUCCUGAAAAUGCUUUCAAUGACACUAUAGCUAUAUUGUUCUUGGUUAGUGUGUACCUGGUACAUCUUUUUUCAUUUUUUUGUUUCCAACCUCUUUGCAUCCUUUUGCUUUAGCUAUAUGUCUCUUUAAGCAAUAUAUAUCUGAAUUUUGUUGUUGAUUUGUUUUUUAUAUGAAAACUGCCAAUAUCUGACUUUUAAUUAAUACAGUUAGAUUAUAUUUAUUGUAAUUACUGAUGUAUUGAAUUUAUUUCUAUCUUAUUUUGUGCUAUCUGUCUACCUGGACUUUUCUAUUUCUAUUUUUUCCUCUGCUCCUACAUUUUAAUAGCUCGCUUGAGUUUUCUUUUACAUUUUAACCUUAACUUCCUAUGGUUUGGAAAUUUCUAUCCUUCUGGGGUGAUCCUUUAAGUGUUGACAGCAUAAUUGACUUAAAUCUAAAGUUAAACAACUUUACCCUUCUCCUAUCAAAUAUAUGAAUUUUUGAAUGGUUUAACUCUGACGACACUCUUUUUCAUAAACACUACUAUUUUCCUGAGUUUUAGUUCCAUCUUGUUUUUAGGCACUACAGAUUAAUCAUCUUCAAAACACUAUUUUAUAUAGUGAAAUUUGGACAUAUGGUUAUAUAUUUCUUUGCUCAUCACUCCUUACAUUUCGGCCCUUCCUUUUUGGUUCAUUUUCCUUCUUCCUGAAACACAUCUUUUAGUAGUUUUGUUGGUGAGGGUCAAUUAGUAGUAAACACUUGUAGUCUUUGUUCCUGUGGCUUUAUUUCACCCUCACUGUUGAAUGGUAAGUUGGCUGGAUUUGAAAUCCAGGCUGCCAGUUUUUCUUUUUUGUUUUUUGUUUUUUUUCAGUUCUUUGAGGAUAUUAUCCCAUUAUCUUUUGUUUUAUUUUGUUUUGUUUUCUUGCUGCUGCUAAAAAAUCUGUCAGUUGAAUUGUCAUUCCAUGUAGAUUACUCCUAUGUUAGAUGCAGAGAUGUGCCUCCCAGAUCCCUCUUCCAGGAGGCACUUCCUGUCCAGAUGGGGAGGACUGUGACCAUCACACAGCCUCUACCUGUCAGCUCUUUUCAGAUCUGUCUCAGCUGCAGAGAACUGCUUCCCCUGAACUCAUGUUCUAUGGAAUACCUGCCUUCUGCAACUGAGCGUGGCAGGGAUAGACAGACCUGGCCACCCGUUUCAGCCCAGUGCAGGACACUCUGAAAGGUUACUCUUUCCUCUGAGCUCCCUGCUGGGUUGGCUGAGGCCUUGUCAGGCCACAUCACAGUGUGAUUUCUCCCUCUGCUCAGUUCUCCUUCCACCCUUUUCCUCUCCUGGGAGUUGAUCCCUAAUAAACAUUUUGCACCCAAAACUCUAUCUCAUUGUCUACUUACUUCUGUUUUCUCUGUGGCUUCAUCCAAGGUCUUCGCAGUGUCUUCGGGUUCUGUGGUUUCACCAAAAUAGUUCUAACUGUGGAUUUCUUUGUAUUUACCAUACUCAGGAUUUCUCUUUCCUGAACCAGAGGGUUUAUGUCUUUCAUUAACAUUAUUAGUCUUUCUCAUUUUGAGUAUUUGCCCUGCCAUUUCUUUUUUCUUUUUCAGGAAUAUGAAUAAAUACAUUAGGCCUUUGUUUUGCUUUGUUUCUGUGUGCUGUCUUCAGGGUACUCCCUCAGGUUGGUUUCCCAGUUCACUAAUUUUCCCUUCAUAUUUAUAUUAACUGCUUUGUAAACUAUCUAUUGAGAGCCAGGUGCAGUGGCUCACACCUGUAAUCCCAGUGCUUUGGGAGACUGAGAUGGGAGGAUAGCUUGAGGCCAGGAGUUUGAGACCAGCCUAGGCAGCAUAGUGAGACAUCAUUUCUUAAAAAAAAAAAAAUUAGGUCGGUGCAAAAGUAAUUGCGGUUUUAAUUUAAUUUAUAAAAAUUAGCCAGGUGUGGUGGCAUGUGCCUGUAGUCCUAGCUACUCAGGAGGCUGAGGCAAGAGGAUUGCUUGAGCCCAGGAGUUCAAGUCUGCAGUGAGCUGUGAUUCUCUAAGUUGGGCAACAGAGUUUGACCCUGCCUCUAAAAUAAAUAAAUACAUAAAUAAAUAAUCAAUUGAACUUUUAAUGAGCACGCUAGACUUUUGAUUUGUAAAAAUUCUAAUUGUUUUGUUUUCAAGUCUGUUCUUUUCACAUAGUAUCUUGGGCUUUUUUCAUAUUUAAAGUUUGUCUUUUAGGUCUUUACUUAGAACAUGUAUUAUGGUCUCCAUCUGUUAGCUCUAUUAUCUAAACACUCCGAAGGCCUAAUACUGCUUUUGUUGUGUAUGUUGAUUGAUUUUCCAUGUGUUUGGUAAUUUUGAGUUAUGCACUUGUUUUUGGCAAGGCUUUAUCUGUGGGAAUCCUGUGUAAUCUGGAUUAAGGGCAUGUCCUCUCAGAGAAGUUUUGAAUUUGCUUCAUUGUUAGCUGGAAACCUUUUUUAAAAAUUAAUAACUUGGUUUAGGGGCUCCUAGAUCAUUUGGGUUAUGUAAAUCUAAACCCCAAACCCACAUAAGAAGGAGCCCAUAGCAAAAUUGAGUUAAAAUAUUUUCAAAAUUAGUUUUUAUGGGUUAUGUGAGAUAUUUUGAUACAGGCAUGCAAUGCGUAGUAAUCACAUCAGGGUAAAUGGGGUAUCCAUCAUUUCAAGCGCAGGUAAAAUAUUUUUUUCACACCCGAUCCAGGUUAUGCCAUUCAAGCUUCUUUAUUAUAAUUUACUUC
rnacentral:lncRNA from 10 species